UACAGAGGUCCCAAGCGUUGUUCGGAUUCAUUGGGCGUAAAGGGUGCGUAGGUGGCGCGCUAAGUCAGGUGUGAAAUUUCGGAGCUUAACUCCGAAACUGCAUUUGAUACUGGCGUGCUUGAGGACUGGAGAGGAGACUGGAAUUUACGGUGUAGCAGUGAAAUGCGUAGAUAUCGUAAGGAAGACCAGUGGCGAAGGCGGGUCUCUGGACAGUUCCUGACACUGAGACACGAAGGCCAGGGGAGCAAACGGG
rnacentral:rRNA from 1 species